rnacentral:rRNA from 1 species
CCUACGGGGGGCAGCAGUGGGGAAUAUUGGACAAUGGGCGAAAGCCUGAUCCAGCCAUGCCGCGUGAGUGAUGAAGGCCCUAGGGUUGUAAAGCUCUUUCACCGGUGAAGCGGUAACCGGAGAAGAAGCCCCGGCUAACUUCGUGCCAGCAGCCGCGGUAAUACGAAGGGGGCUAGCGUUGUUCGGAAUUACUGGGCGUAAAGCGCACGUAGGCGGAUAUUUAAGUCAGGGGUGAAAUCCCGGGGCUCAACCCCGGAACUGCCUUUGAUACUGGGUAUCUUGAGUCCGAGAGAGGUGAGUGGAAUUCCGAGUGUAGAGGUGAAAUUCGUAGAUAUUCGGAGGAACACCAGUGGCGAAGGCGGCUCACUGGCUGGACUGACGCUGAGGUGCGAAAGCGUGGGGAGCAAACAGGAUUAGAUACCCUUGUAGUC